rnacentral:rRNA from 1 species
GAACGAGACCUUCGGGUCUAGUGGCGCACGGGUGCGUAACGCGUGGGAAUCUGCCCUUGGGUUCGGAAUAACAGUUAGAAAUGACUGCUAAUACCGAAUGAUGACGUAAGUCCAAAGAUUUAUCGCCCAAGGAUGAGCCCGCGUAGGAUUAGCUAGUUGGUGAGGUAAAGGCUCACCAAGGCGACGAUCCUUAGCUGGUCUGAGAGGAUGAUCAGCCACACUGGGACUGAGACACGGCCCAGACUCCUACGGGAGGCAGCAGUGGGGAAUAUUGGACAAUGGGCGAAAGCCUGAUCCAGCAAUGCCGCGUGAGUGAUGAAGGCCUUAGGGUUGUAAAGCUAUUUUACCCGGGAUGAUAAUGACAGUACCGGGAGAAUAAGCUCCGGCUAACUCCGUG